UGGCGAACGGGUGAGUAACACGUGAGGAACUUGCCCAUGAGCGGGGGACAACAUUCGGAAACGGAUGCUAAUACCCCAUAGGUGGAUUGGUCGCAUGACGAAUUCAUUAAAGGUGGCUUCGCUACCACUCAUGGAUAGCCUCGCGGCGUAUUAGCUAGUUGGUAAGGUAAUGGCUUACCAAGGCAGUGAUACGUAGCCGACUUGAGAGGGUGAUCGGCCACACUGGGACUGAGACACGGCCCAGGCUCCUACGGGAGGCAGCAGUAGGGAAUCUUCCACAAUGGGUGCAAACCUGAUGGAGCAAUGCCGCGUGAGUGAAGAGGGUCUUCGGAUCGUAAAGCUCUGUUGUUAGAGAAGAACACGUGCUAGGUAACUACUAGCGCCUUGACGGUAUCUAACCAGAAAGUCACGGCUAACUACGUGCCAGCAGCCGCGGUAAUACGUAGGUGACAAGCGUUGUCCGGAUCUAUUGGGCGUAAAGGGAGCGCAGGCGGUCUGUUUAGUCUAAUGUGAAAGCCCACGGCUUAACCGUGGAACGGCAUUGGAAACUGACAGACUUGAAUGUAGAAGAGGAAAAUGGAAUUCCAAGUGUAGCGGUGGAAUGCGUAGAUAUUUGGAGGAACACCAGUGGCGAAGGCGAUUUUCUGGUCUAACAUUGACGCUGAGGCUCGAAAGCGUGGGGAGCGAACAGGAUUAGAUACCCUGGUAGUCCACGCCGUANACGAUGAGUGCUAAGUGUUGGGGGCUUUCCGGCCCUCGGUGCUGGAGCUAACGUAUUAAG
rnacentral:rRNA from 1 species